rnacentral:rRNA from 1 species
GACGAACGCUGGCGGCGUGCUUAACACAUGCAAGUCGAGCGGUAAGGCCCUUUCGGGGGUACACGAGCGGCGAACGGGUGAGUAACACGUGGGUGACCUGCCCUCAGCUCUGGGAUAAGCCUGGGAAACCGGGUCUAAUACUGGAUAUGACUCCAUGACGCAUGUUGUGGGGUGGAAAGCCUUGUGCGGCUGAGGAUGGGCCCGCGGCCUAUCAGCUUGUUGGUGGGGUGANGGCCUACCAAGGCGACGACGGGUAGCCGGCCUGAGAGGGCGACCGGCCACACGGGGACUGAGACACGGCCCCGACUCCUACGGGA